rfam:Schistosoma mansoni, Puerto Rico, WGS project CABG01000000 data, contig: 0141
CUAUCACUAAGGAGUCCCACAAUAGGACGAAACGGCCGUCAGGCAG